UUUCCCAAGGACAAUCUGCAAGAAAGCAGCGGCGGAGGAGAGCUAAGACUAAAAGAGUGGAUCAUGACCCAUGAAGAGCACCAUGCAGCCAAAACCCUGGGGAUUGGCAAAGCCAUUGCUGUCUUAACCUCUGGUGGAGAUGCCCAAGGUAUGAAUGCUGCUGUCAGGGCUGUGGUUCGAGUUGGUAUCUUCACCGGUGCCCGUGUCUUCUUUGUCCAUGAGGGUUAUCAAGGCCUGGUGGAUGGUGGAGAUCACAUCAAGGAAGCCACCUGGGAGAGCGUUUCGAUGAUGCUUCAGCUGGGUCACAGGGAAGGUCUGGCCCUGAAAAUAACCUUACCAGAGGACUGGAGCCAGAGCCAGAAGUGGAGCUGAAAUCUGCCAGUCCUCAUGUGAUGGAGAUGAGGUGACCUGAAACCAGACCACUUAAAGGACGAAGGAACUGAGACAGCCUUUCGGAGUCUCAAAAAAAUCCUAAGAGUAUCCUGAGGAUUUCCACAGUCCUUUAUGCUACUUGCUCCAUGUUGUUUUAGGCUUCUCAUGUG
rnacentral:sRNA from 1 species